CACUGCUAGAACAACAACGGCGAAGGCACAUACACACACACAUACACACGUCUGCCCUUCCCUCUUUCUCUCUCCCCCGCUUUCUGUGACGCUAUUUCACAGAGGCGCUCGUGCCGCCGCAGUUGAGAGCGCUCGUUGCGCGCGCGCGAAGCUCUCAUGGACAAUCACGUGACUGCGCGCGUAAAGCGGAUGCCUUCGCCGUCGCCGUUCGGUGACGGCCUCGACGCCGUCGCGACAGCCGGCACUGCAGUCGUCGGUGGCCCAGCACUGUGCACGGCAGCCGGCACAGAGUGUGGCCGGAACGAGCGUGGGCGUGGUCCCGCUGGUUUUGCGUCGGCGUCGAUGGUUUUCAGCAACGAAGGUGAUGGCGGACUUUCUGGUGCCACUCAAACCUUGCACAGCAGCAGCCACCGAGCCCCGGCCAACGUGGAACUGAGGGCGGUCGCGGAGGGCCGUGGCUAUGCGCCGAUGCACUUGAUGCCUAAGGCGUCCGCAUCAUCAGCAGCAGCCGCAGCCGCAGUGCAUGGCCGCGGCCAUCUACGGCCGCUGAGGCGCCUGUUGUGCUGUGCCAGCCGCGUCCAUCGCACGCUGCGCGCGCUCGGCUUUGCAAGCGAUGACGACGACCCCGCGAACAUGUCGCAGAUGCUCGCGUGCUCGUGCGCCGCGGUUGGCGUGUUGCUGGUGCUUCUCUUGAUCAACUUCGCCGCACUGGUGGCGGUGCUGGUUAUUGUAGUGCCUGAUGCGCGGCAGCAUCUUUCUCACACGAUCGGCCCGCUCCUGGACUCCAACACCAGACGAGACGGCAACACAGCCGGUGGCGGCGGCGGUGAUGCCGCGUCUCGCGUCUCUGCGCUGGAUCUCAAGAUUCGUCGUUUACUAGCCAGUGAGGGCCUCGAAGCGUUCUUGCGCGAGACGCGCCGCGCGGCGGAACUACGUCGGCGUGUCCGGCGCAACGCGACGCUCUUGGCAGCACUGCGCAAGGCGAGCGCGGCCCGCGGCAAGGACGGGGGGCACGGUGUGGACCUUGUAAGUCUUGCUCAGACUCUCCCGGAGCUGGAGCAUCUAUCUUUCCUGCUAGCUCAAGUGAGCGUUCAUGUUCGGGCGGUGCAGGAGCACGACCCGGUGAUGGGGCUUAUGGAGCUGAGCGAUUUCUUGCUCAACGCCAAGGGCCGAAAGGAGGCGCUGGAGAAGGCUGCAGAGCGAGCGCGCGCCGAGGGGGCUGAUGCGACGACGGCUGCGCGUGGCGCAUCCACCAUCGGGGAUGCUGCGGCGGAGUGGAACGCGGCGCUGAAGGAGUCGUUUGCGGGGCGCUCAGAGGCAGCUCGCCUGCGUGCGCAGCUACGCGGCUUCGUCGGCGUCUCUUCCUUUGAGACGGAGCGACUGACCGAGCAGCCCUUCGACGACCUCGCGCUGCUACAGUACCGACACGCGUGGACGAAGUCGGAGGUGCUGCCGAUCAUGCGUGCCCGCUUCCGUCGCGCUGGUGCGCGAGCCGACGAGGAGGGCCCAAACGCGGCGGUGCCUCGCAAGAAUGCCGCCAGCCAUACACCACAGAAUAGGCCUGGACAUGAAAGCUCAGCGCCGCUAAGGCCGCAGGACGUCGCAAACCGCGUGGCGAUGAAGGCGGACUUGUAUGAGGUUGCCUCGAUCUUCAACCACAUCCACUACUACCCGCUGCGACGCUACAGCGCUCUCCGCCCCUACGGCGGCGACUCGGUUGCCGACACAGACGCGUGGUAUUCAGCCAUCGCCGCGGUCGUGCAGACUCGCUUCGGCGUCCCGAUCACCUCCAACACGGCGCAGACCGCCGAGGCUGCAGCGCUGCCGCUCAUACAGCGCGACUCUCCCCUCUCCGUUCUUGCACUGCCGCGGCUGGGGCUGGAGCGAGCGAAGGAGGUGGCGCACCUGUACACUCGAGAAGAUCGCCAGCUAAUACCGCACGCGCUGAAUCCCAAAGCCGCAGAAAACACGCACACCGUCUUUGUGAGCGUUGCGAGCUACCGUGACAUGGAGUGUGCGCCGACGCUGCUGAACUUGUUCCGCACAGCGCGCAACCCGCACCGCUUGUACGUCGGGGUCGCUCAGCAGAACCGUGCCGGCGACUCGCCGUGCCUCGUGCCAGAGCUGUACACCCCUUACCUGUGCCCGUCCAACGGCGUGCAGGGCGCUGCGGGCGAUGGCGGCGUCGGCGCCGCGCGUGAGCUGCGGGCGCGUGCGCGCACGUUGUACGGCAAGGGCGUGGACUUGACGACGAGCACCACAGGCCCCGAGGCCCAUUACUUUGAUGCGCGCGUCUGCCUCGUGGCGGAGCAGGUGCGCUUACGUGAGAUCGACUCCAGUCAGGCGAAGGGGCCGGCGUAUGGCCGCUACAUGGCGAUGCUGCUGUACCGUGGCGAGGACGUGACGCUGGUGCUGGACUCACAUAACCGGUUUCGCCCCAUGUGGGACGUCCUCGGCACAACGAUGCUGAGGCGCUUGGAGGACCCGAAAGCGGUGCUGUCGCACUACCCGGAAGGCUACCAGGGCGAGGGGGUUGACUUCCAGCCGUACCGCACGACAACGGCAUACCUCUGCAGGGCGCAUUUUAUGAAUAGCUUCGGCUACCUUCGGCUCAACGGCAUAGUGAUCGGGUCCACGUCGGAGUUCGCAAAGAACAACGUCUACAACGACCCGUACGUGCGUGUUCAGUCGUCGGAAAUCGACCCGGCCACGAACCACCGCCUGCCGCAGCCUUGGGUGGCGGGUGGCUUCUUGAUGUCGUUCGGCACCAUCUUUCGCGACGUCCCCUUCGAUCCGCACCUUCCCUACAUCUUCGACGGAGAGGAGGUGCUGUACUCGACGCGGCUGUGGACGCACGGCUACAACAUCUACUCCCCAGCGCGCGGGCUAUGCUUCCAUAUCUACACCCGCUCCUCAGCGCCGAAGGUGUGGUCGGAGUCGUCUCAGUGGUACACUAUGCAGACACGCGUGCGCCAACGAAUUCAGUUCUUUCUCCAGACUCACCCCUUCAGCAAGGAGGACGUGCUCGUGCCGGCGAACACCACCAACCCGUACGUCAUCAUCGACUCGAGCCGCUACGGGAUGGGCAAGCAGCGGACUGUCGCGCAGUGGUACGAGUACGCCGGUGUAGACCCCAUCAAAUACAAGCUGGAUGGGCGCUGGUGCGGCGUGGACAAGCCCGAUUAGAGGGAUGACGAUGAGGAGGGGGAGUGGUGCGCUCGCACGUGCCCAUCGCCCCCACCCCCCUCAUCUCCGCCCUUUACGGUGGUGCUCUCGCGCCUUUUCGUGUUCUUGUGCGUGUCGCCCUGGAGCUCCCGUCAUGACGCGGGCCACCGGGCCGUGCGUGUGUGGUGGCAGGCUCUCGGGGUGGUGGUGGCGGACUCUUGGUGUGUGUGGGGGGGGGGGCAGGUGUCUGGGGGCCGGCGAGGCUUGCGGCCAUGAUGCCGCUUGCACCGGCUCGCUACGACUCGUGCCGGCAGUCGAAAGAAGGAGCGCACGGAUGCGCCGGCUACUUGUCUGCCUUCGCUGCGUUGCGGUGGCGCGGGGCGCGAUGCGGGGGCGAGCCUGCGCUGUAUGCGGUGACGUGUUGCGGUGGGCUUGGACGGCGCCAGGCGGUGUUGGUGGGGCCCGGUUUCCUGGGCAUGGCCGUCGCGCACCAGAGGUAGGUGCGCUGUGGGCUGUGCAUGCGCCUCUUCAUUGCGCGGCUCGCGUGCGGAGCACGACCACGUUUGUGGGUAUCGAAAGGAACUGUCUGCUGACCACUGUUGCGAUCUUGCCCUCAUCAUCAUCCUGUGCGUACAUCUAAAUAUAUGCCUAUGUGUAUGCAUGUGUAUAUCUGUGUAUAUUGAUGGGUGUGCAUAUUGUUGCUGUUUCGGCCACGUAUU
rnacentral:misc_RNA from 1 species